UGGGGGAGGGGCAGAGAGACAGGGAGACACAGAAUCGGAAGCAGGCUCCAGGCUCUGAGCUGUCAGCACAGAACCCGAGGCGGGGCUAGAACUCACGGACCGUGAGAUCGUGACCUGAGCUGAAGUCGGACGCUUAACCGACUAAGCCGCCCAGGUGCCCCUGAAAUUGUGUUUUCUUGUAGACAUACUCCAAUAGCUACAGAAACCAGCUCCCUGUUGAGGAUGAUGGAAAUUUUUGCUUGACACGGACUCUAAGAUUGCCAACGCCUCUCCCUCUGGCUAGAGCCAGAUAGAGAUCCCCUGCUGACUACCAGGAAACGGGGAGUGCUGUAGAUCGAAUUCCACACUUACAUAAUACGACAGCAAGAUCAGUUGCGUGCGCAUGAUCGCCAGGGUUCCCCUUCCCCCUGACCCUUGAAACGGAGCAGAGUUCCUGAAAACAUUCCAGUUGAAAUGAUAAGGCCAGUUCGUAUGGUCCCUGGAAGAAAGCCGUUGCAGAAUUUCCGCGGGGGAUUCACAGCAGAUCCACACGAACUAAACCAUACACGUCUACACAGAGAGCCUGGUUUCCUAGGAGAAAUGCAUUGGACGGGACGGGAAUUGGGUACCAGCUACACCUGCUGGAAGGCACUGAAGCUGCAAUCAAAGCCCCUGUGAGUUGAUGUCUGUUAUCCCAACGCAAAGCAACACUCACCAUAAAUUAGCAAUUGACCUCCUCCUUUUGUAACACCCCACCCUGUGCCAAACUGUAAUCCCGAAGAAGCACUUAUACAACUCCCAGGAUAUACCUUGUUCACAUCACAGUGACUCGCGAUUUCUGUCCUAAUUCGCCGUGUUCUGUAUUCCGUGAAGACUGGGGAGGGGCGUUAGUGGGUUCAUGUUUGGGCUCUGAGGAAAUUCGUACGGAAAUGCAUUCAGGUAACGUUUCACAUCCUGGGAAUGUUGUCACGCUGCAGGGUCACUACACAUGAAAGAGAAUUCUUUUUUUUAAAAUUCUGAACGUUUAUUUAUUUUUCAGAGAGACAGAGACAGAAUCUGAAGCAGGCUCCGGGUUCUGAGCUGUCAGCACAGAGCCUGAUGUGGGGCUCAAACCCACGAACUGUGAGAUCAUGAGCUGAGCCGAAGUCAGAUGCUUAACCGACUGAGCCACCUAGGCGCCCCUGCAGGCAAAGAAAUUUUCUUUGCCUAUUGAGAGGUGAA
rnacentral:lncRNA from 1 species